ACUCCACCCAGCGUCGGCGGGGUCAGCGGAGACCAGCUGCGCUGCCGCGUCCUCGGCGGAGACUGGAAGCUGCCGAAGGAUCCGUCGCGGGACCGCCGACUCACGACUGGCUGAGGUUCCACCCCGAUGCUGCGCCGACCACAACCCGAUCGGGUGUGCUGCCAGCGCAAGGGAUCUUCGGGGUCCACUCGGUGAGAACAUCUUUGGGCAGCCGCCCCAGGUAAGCCCGCUGUAUCGGGAGGCGAGACCUUGAGCAGCGGCCGGCAGGAAGGAAAAGGUGGCUCAGUAUGGGAUCAAUCUCAGAAGCUUAACAAUGUGGCUGCUUACAUGGGAAUUACUCGGGAUCACUCGUUACCAAACCUUGGAGUUUGCACACCAUUGGACGACCUGCAACAGGAAUUGUGGGGAGAUAAACAAAAAGUGUACAGUUCGUCGAUGGGGGGAAGGUUGCAGCUAAUAACCUUCACGGCUGAUUGAUUGAUGCGCUGCAGCCUCCGGAUGACAUGCUUGGUGGCUAAGCCAAACCAGACCAUGAUGGAGAAG